rnacentral:tRNA from 1 species
AAAUCCGUCGACUUUAAAAAUCGUGAGGGUUCAAGUCCCUCUAU